rnacentral:rRNA from 1 species
UACGAAGGGGGCUAGCGUUGUUCGGAAUUACUGGGCGUAAAGCGCACGUAGGCGGAUACUUAAGUCAGGGGUGAAAUCCCGGGGCUCAACCCCGGAACUGCCUUUGAUACUGGGUAUCUGGAGUCCGGAAGAGGUGAGUGGAAUUCCGAGUGUAGAGGUGAAAUUCGAAGAUAUUCGCAAGAACACCAGUGGCGAAGGCGGCUCACUGGCCCGGUACUGACGCUGAGGUGCGAAAGCGUGGGGAGCAAACAGG